GGAAAGGGGAAAAGAGUUCACAGCAGUCUGUAUUACACUCUGCAUAGUAAAUGAAAUAGUUUGAAGAACAGGUCACACAAUAUACAGAUACAGCCACGUAGAAUCUACCCACGAAUCGCAACCAAAGUUUUGCUUGAGAUUUCCCGAAAAAUAUAUAUAAUGGAAUAAUAUAUGAGUAAUAAUGGAGUAAUCCAUGGGUGUUAAACUCGUUUAACUACUUCAUAACCUAUUCAUAAAUGUUCUUGCAAUUGAUUAUUAUGUGUUCAAGUUACAAAUAUUGUACAUUGCUGUGUAAUAAAAAAAAAAAAAACUUUUUCAUUGUAUCAGGUUAAGAAAUUCUGCAGCAUGGACUUUAAAAUACAGGCAAAAGCUUCUAACGUGGCUCCCUUGGGCCAAACAAAAUUAUUUGGUGGGCCACAUUUGGGCCACGGGCCAUCAGUUUGACACGUGUUAUAAUCUAUGACGAUCUGAGGAGUGGCACUAGGCAGACUGUGUGUCUACACCGGGAGGCGCCCUCGUCAUGUUUUGCUCUCUUUUGUCAGUCUGAGCCACUGAACAUACACUACCGGUCAAAAGUUUUAGAACACCCCAAUUUUUCCAGUCAUUUAUUGCAAUUCAAGUUGUGUAAGCCCAAUGAAUAGCUUGAAAUGGUACAUAGGUAAGUACUGAACAGCCAGAGGUUAAAAAAAAAAGGUUUGGUUACCCAAAACCGAAAAAUAAUGUACAUUUCAGAAUUAUACAAGAAGGCCAUUUUCAGGGAACACAACGUGGGUUAACAAUUUAAAGCUGAAUCAGCCUUGAAAGCUGGUGCUACUAAUUCCUACAGGUGUCCCAACUUUUCUGGAUUACUUACAACCCCCUCUGUCUGCAUAAAAGCAGUGUUGGAACACACUGUGGUACCAGACCCUCAUGAGCAUCAGGUGAACAGUAUUGUACUACAGAAAGUAGUGUGUUGCUACAAAAAUGGCAA